rnacentral:rRNA from 1 species
GGAAAGACCCCGUGAACCUUUACUAUAGCUUCACAGUGAACUUUGAGCAUGUUUGUGUAGGAUAGCUGGGAGGCUUUGAAGUGGGAACGCCAGUUCUCAUGGAGCCAACCUUGAAAUACCAGCCUGACAUGUUUGAGGUUCUAACUUGGUCCCCUUAUCGGGGAUGAGGACACUGUGUGGUGGGUAGUUUGACUGGGGCGGUCUCCUCCCAAAGCGUAACGGAGGAGCACAAAGGUGGGCUAAGCAUGGUCGGACAUCAUGCGGUUAGUGUAAUGGCACAAGCCCGCUUAACUGCGAGACAGACACGUCGAGCAGGUACGAAAGUAGGUCAUAGUGAUCCGGUGGUUCUGUAUGGAAGGGCCAUCGCUCAACGGAU